rnacentral:rRNA from 1 species
AUGGAUGAGCGAGGCACCCAGACUCGAAGCACCACCGGGCUUGGCCGCCCCCGGCGCCGGUCACCGCCCUCGCCACCGGUUGCCGCCCUCGCCGCCGGUGGCCACCUGUGUUUCAUGUUGGCUCGGCGCAUGCAGCAGCAUGUGCGCCGGUUGCAGCUCCCCCGGCGAUGGUCGCAACUCCGCUGCGACGGUCGAAGCUGCGGCGGCGAAGAUCACCGGACGCGCGCCCUCGAAGACGAGCUCACGUCUGAACCGAGGCAAGGCUUGAACCGUCGCACACCCUUUGUGUUGCAAACGUUGUUAAAAAAGCUUCAACCCCUGGAUGGAAAAGCUUCAAGCCCUAGAUGA